rnacentral:rRNA from 1 species
GACAGAGGGGGCAAGCGUUGUUCGGAAUUACUGGGCGUAAAGGGCGCGUAGGCGGCCUUCUAAGUCGAACGUGAAAUCCCUGGGCUCAACCCAGGAACUGCGUCCGAUACUGGAAGGCUUGAAUCCGGGAGAGGGAUGCGGAAUUCCAGGUGUAGCGGUGAAAUGCGUAGAUAUCUGGAGGAACACCGGUGGCGAAGGCGCAUCCUGGACCGGCAUUGACGCUGAGGCGCGAAAGCCAGGGGAGCAAAGCGGG